UCCAGAGGCCGCCUCUCCAAACGCCGAAUAGUUUUGCAAGGGAUUGAUGCCGAUUGCCAAAACCUCUCUGCCCUGAAGCCAGCAAGUGGAAACGUUUCCGUUUCUCCUCUGGAUCUGACCCGAAGUCCCGGGACCCGAUGCCAUUCUGAAGAUUUAUUAGUGAAUCCUUCAUCUGCAAGACAAGAAAUUUCGCUGCUGUGAUGCUACCCUAGAGAAUUCUCACCUCGACGUGCACGGACCCCUCUGAGGUGACAGAGAAGCUACAGUAACCUGCAAAUAGCCCUUGGGACCCGCUGCCCACCACUACGUCAGCAGACGGAUCUAAAGGGAGACUGUAGCGGAGGUGACGCACCAGGCGGACUACAGUGGAACCAGAAAUAAUCUCUCAACAGUCCAGCUUCUUUCUGCAUUGGUAUCCCUUGUCAAAAUCACCACCCAGGACCAGACCCGAAUAGAUUUUGCCAGACCAGAGGAAAGAAGUAACAGACUCCUUACUCACACUGAGCCCUGUUGUGAUAGCAGAGUAACUCCCAAUGAGCUUUGCAUGGUCGGUUUUUUUGUGAUAACAGCUAGUUUGUUGACAGAUUACAUUAAAUGACUUAUUUUAAAUUAGCA